rnacentral:rRNA from 1 species
UACAGAGGUCCCGAGCGUUGUUCGGAUUCACUGGGCGUAAAGGGUGCGUAGGUGGCAUGGUAAGUUUGAUGUGAAAGCUCAGGGCUCAACCCUGAAAUGGCAUUGAAUACUACUGUGCUGGAGGUUUGGAGGGGGGACUGGAAUUCUUGGUGUAGCAGUGAAAUGCGUAGAUAUCAAGAGGAACACCAGUGGCGAAGGCGAGUCCCUGGACAACACCCGACACUGAGGCACGAAAGCUAGGGGAGCAAACAGG